rnacentral:rRNA from 1 species
AUUGAACGCUGGCGGCAGGCCUAACACAUGCAAGUCGAGCGGAUGAAGGGAGCUUGCUCCUGGAUUCAGCGGCGGACGGGUGAGUAAUGCCUAGGAAUCUGCCUGGUAGUGGGGGAUAACGUCCGGAAACGGGCGCUAAUACCGCAUACGUCCUGAGGGAGAAAGUGGGGGAUCUUCGGACCUCACGCUAUCAGAUGAGCCUAGGUCGGAUUAGCUAGUUGGUGGGGUAAAGGCCUACCAAGGCGACGAUCCGUAACUGGUCUGAGAGGAAGAUCAGUCACACUGGAACUGAGACACGGUCCAGACUCCUACGGGAGGCAGCAGUGGGGAAUAUUGGACAAUGGGCGAAAGCCUGAUCCAGCCAUGCCGCGUGUGUGAAGAAGGUCUUCGGAUUGUAAAGCACUUUAAGUUGGGAGGAAGGGCAGUAAGUUAAUACCUUGCUGUUUUGACGUUACCAACAGAAUAAGCACCGGCUAACUUCGUG